rnacentral:rRNA from 1 species
AGUGAACGCUGGCGGUAGGCCUAACACAUGCAAGUCGAACGGCAGCACAGUAAGAGCUUGCUCUUGCGGGUGGCGAGUGGCGGACGGGUGAGGAAUACAUCGGAAUCUACUUUUUCGUGGGGGAUAACGUAGGGAAACUUACGCUAAUACCGCAUACGACCUACGGGUGAAAGCAGGGGAUCUUCGGACCUUGCGCGAUUGAAUGAGCCGAUGUCGGAUUAGCUAGUUGGCGGGGUAAAGGCCCACCAAGGCGACGAUCCGUAGCUGGUCUGAGAGGAUGAUCAGCCACACUGGAACUGAGACACGGUCCAGACUCCUACGGGAGGCAGCAGUGGGGAAUAUUGGACAAUGGGCGCAAGCCUGAUCCAGCCAUACCGCGUGGGUGAAGAAGGCCUUCGGGUUGUAAAGCCCUUUUGUUGGGAAAGAAAAGCAGCAGGUUAAUACCCCGCUGUUCUGACGGUACCCAAAGUAUAAGCACCGGCUAACUUCGUG